rnacentral:rRNA from 1 species
CCAGAAAGGGACGGCUAANUACGUGCCAGCAGCCGCGGUAAUACGUAGGUCCCGAGCGUUGUCCGGAUUUAUUGGGCGUAAAGGGAGCGCNGGCGGUCAGGAAAGUCCGGAGUAAAAGGCUAUGGNUCAACCAUAGUGUGCUCUGGAAACUNUCUGACUUGAGUGCAGAAGGGGAGAGUGGAAUUCCAUGUGUAGCGGUGAAAUGCGUAGAUAUAUGGAGGAACACCAGUGGCGAAAGCGGCUCUCUGGUCUGUCACUGACGCUGAGGCUCGAAAGCGUGGGUAGCGAACAGGAUUAGAUACCCUGGUAGUCCACGCCGUAAACGAUGAGUGCUAGGUGUUAGGCCCUUUCCGGGGCUUAGUGCCGGAGCUAACGCAAUAAGCACUCCGCCUGGGGAGUACGACCGCAAGGUUGAAACUCAAAGGAAUUGACGGGGGCCCGCACAAGCGGUGGAGCAUGUGGUUUAAUUCGAAGCAACGCGAAGAACCUUACCAGGUCUUGACAUCCCGAUGCUAUUCUUAGAGAUAGGAAGUUACUUCGGUACAUCGGAGACAGGUGGUGCAUGGUUGUCGUCAGCUCGUGUCGUGAGAUGUUGGGUUAAGUCCCGCAACGAGCGCAACCCUUAUUGUUAGUUGCCAUCAUUAAGUUGGGCACUCUAGCGAGACUGCCGGUAAUAAACCGGAGGAAGGUGGGGAUGACGUCAAAUCAUCAUGCCCCUUAUGACCUGGGCUACACACGUGCUACAAUGGUCGGUACGACGAGUUGCGAGCCGGUGACGGCAAGCUAAUCUCUGAAAGCCGAUCUCAGUUCGGAUUGGAGGCUGCAACUCGCCUCCAUGAAGUCGGAAUCGCUAGUAAUCGCGGAUCAGCACGCCGCGGUGAAUACGUUCCCGGGCCUUGUACACACCGCCCGUCACACCACGAGAGUUUGUAACACCCGAAGUCGGUGAGGUAACCUUUUAGGGG